UUAUAACUGAAUAAUUUACCUAAGACUCAGGUGGCCAUGUUUGGCCUUAAUAUAUUGCCUGCCGAGGAACGUAUGAAACUAUUCGUGUCUCAGAGUCUUUCUGGGGUACGAAUUUUUUUAUGGUUCA
rfam:Pediococcus pentosaceus ATCC 25745, complete genome.